rnacentral:rRNA from 1 species
GAUGAACGCUGGCGGCGUGCCUAAUACAUGCAAGUCGAGCGAAGCGGGGACGGGUGAGUAACACGUGGAUAACCUCCUAUAAGACUGGGAUAACUUCGGGAAACCGGAGCUAAACCGGAUACUUAUAGAUGGAUCCGCGCUGCAUUAGCUAGUUGGUAAGGUAACGGCUUACCAAGGCAACGAUGCAUAGCCGACCUGAGAGGGUGAUCGGGCAAACUGGAACUUGGACCCGGUCCAAGCUCCUACGGGAGGCAAGCAUAAGGAAUCUUCCGCAAUGGGGGGAAGGCUUAAGGGGCAACGGCGCGUGAGGUGAGAAGGGCCUCGGAUCGUAAAACUCUUUUAUUAAGGAAACGGUACCUAAUCAGAAAACCACGGCUAACUUCGUGCCAACAACCGCGGUAAUAC